GGCGCCGCCGGGGUCGCGGAGAAGGGGGGGUUUGUUAUUGUUUUUGUCAGUGAAAGGUCAGAGUUCGUGACCCCGGUGCCGCCGCCGCCGCCGCCCGCGCGCUGGUAGGAGGAGGGCGAAUGUUCUUCUUCCUCUUCCCAGCGCCAGCCUCGCCGCCGCGGCGGGGGGCGGGCGAGAACGCGAUUGGCUGAGGCGCGCGCGCGCACCGGAACGCCGCAGCCGGCGCUCGGUCCAUCCGGCCCGUGGGCUGUGGGGCCCCGGGCGGCGGCGGCUACGUAGCUGCCGCCGGCCUUGGCCGCGGCCGGGCGGGCGGAUAUGUGGCUUAAAUGGCGCAGGCGUCGGGGCCUAGAGGCUGAAGGGCUGGUCGUCCUAAAAACUCGUGGACGUCGCGCACGGUUACCCGGACGCAGGCCCGCCCCUCUGGGGAACCGCGAGCUCCUCGCAGCUGGGUGGGGACCGUCCUCGCAGUGGCGGCCUCCACCCUGCCUUCUCGCUUAGCCAAGGCUUCUGGAAGGCUCGCAAAGUGUCUGUUGUUGGAAGAAGCCGGGCCCUGACUGGCGCGACGGAUUCUCCCAGCCGCUCAGCAGAGCGUCUAAUAUGCUUUUUGUCUAAUGAUGUUAGAUAAAAAGCAAAUUUGGAGCAGUUUUCUUAUUCGAGUUCAAAAUGGUUCAUAAAGCAGCGAAGACAACUCAAAACAUCAGUAACACAUUUGGCCCAGGAACUGCUAACAAACAUACAGUGCAGUGGUGGCUUAAGAAGUUUUGCAAGGAAGAGAGCCUUGAAGAUGAGGAACGUGAUAUGGGCCAUGGGAAGUUGACAACGACCAAUUGAGAGCAAUCAUUGAACUACAUGAAAAAUUACAGAAGAACUCAGCGUUGACUAUUCUACGGUCAUUAGGGUCGUUCAGCAUUCGAAGCAAAUUGGAAAGGUGAAAAAGCUUGAUAAGUGGGUGCCUCAUGAGCUGAGCGGAAAUCAAAACUAUCGUUUUGAAGUGUAGUCUUCUUUUAUGCUACGCAACAACAAACCAUUUCUCAAUCGGAUUGUGACAUGUAAUGAAAAGUGAAUUUUAUACAACAACCAGCUCAGUGGUUGGACCAAGAGGCAGCUCCAAAGCAGUUCCCAAAGCCAAACUUGCACCAAAAAAAAGGUCAUGGUCACUGUUCGGUGGUCUGCUGCCCAUCUGAUCCACUACAGUUUUCUGAAUCCUGGUGAAACCAUUACAUCUGAGAAGUAUGCUCAGCAAAUUGGUAAGAUGCACCGAAAACUGCAAUACCUGCUGCCUGCAUUGGUCAACAGAAAGGGCCCAAUUCUUCUCCACGACAACACCUGACUGCGUGUCGCACAACCAGUGCUUCAAAAGUUGAAGGAAUUGGGCUACAAAGUUUUGCCUCAUCCACCAUAUUCACCUGACCUUUCGCCAACUGACUACCACUUCUGCUAGCAUCUUGACAACUUUUUGCAGGGAAAACACUUCAGCAUGGUGCAGAAAAUGCUUUCCAAGAGUUCGUCAAAUCCUGAAGCACGGAUUUUUAUGCUACAGGAAUAAACAAACAUUUCUCAUUGGCAAAAAUGUGUUGAUUGUAAUGGUUCCUGUUUUGAUUAAUAGAAUAUGUUUUAGCGUAGUUACAAUGAUUUAAAAUUCGCAGUCUGGAAAUUUAAUUUUUGCAUCAACCUAAUAUUUCUAUGGUAAAUCCUUGCAAACAUGGAAACAAUGCAUUUGGCCCAGUGCUUUGUGGUUGUGUACUCUUUUUCUUUGUUUUUUUAAUAGAUGGCAUUGGCCGGGCAUGGUGGCUCAUGCCUGUAAUCCCAGCAUUUUGGGAAGGUGAGGUGGGUGGAUCACCUGAGGUCAGGAGUUCAAGACCAGCCUGACUAACAUGGUAAAACCCCAUCUCUACUAAAAAUACAAAAAAAUUAGCUAGGCGGGGUGGCGGGCAUCUAAUUCCAGCUACUUCAUGAGGCUGCGACAGGAGAAUCAUUUGAACUCGGGAGGCAGAGGUUGCAGUGAGCCGAGAUCACACCAUUGCACUCCAGCCUGGGCGAUGAGCGAAACUGUCUCAAAAAAAAAAAAAGUUGGGGUCUCGCUGUGUUGACCAGGCUGGUCUCGAACUCCUGGCCUCAAGUGAUCCUCCCAUCUUGGCCUCCCAAAGUGUUAGGAUUACAGGCGUGAGCCACCACACCCUGCCUGGUUGUGUACUCUUUUAAAUACUAAGUUUUUAAUGUUAAAUGCUGCUUUUAGAUACACUGUAAAAAUACACCUAUCAAUGAGUUUUUUUAUUAAAAACAUUGCAAUUGUACUAGACUUUAAAUACUAAGCAAUAAUUCAGGCUUCAAUGUUGGUUUAUAGUUUUCUCAUUUCUUUCAUUUAAUACCUCUGUAAAAUGAAGCAGUUACUUCCAUUUUCCUGAGGUGAGAUAAGUGCCCUGCACAAUGUUAUAGGCCCAGUAAGUGAGACUGGAGCUCUGAUCUAAUCCCUUUGACAUUAAAGUUUGUGCAGUAAACCAGCUAUGUCAGUUUGCCACAUUUGUAAUAGUGUUCAAUAAAUUUUCACUUAAAGGUUUAAUAUUAAAGUAGUAGCAAGAAUUCAUAACCUUAAUUGGCUUUAACAGCUUUUCUUUCCCUGAAAACAGAUGCAUAUGUACACAUGCACACAGAUUGCUUACAAUAUCAGCACGUAAAAGGCCUUUGCACAUUGAAGUCGGCACUGCUUUGGUGCCUUUUUUGUUUUUUGGCUCGGUGUUUUGACUGCAAGUCUUUUUGGAUAGAAUUUUAUAGUUAGAAAGUAGCUAACACUUGGGUUUUAUAGGCACAAAAAACAAGUCUUAUACUAGCUGUACUUUAUUUUUUGAGUUCUUAUUAAUGAGGAACAUCCACUUUUGCAUUGACAGUGAUUUCAAGAUUGCUUUAUCAGCCUUUAAAGGAUUCUUGACUAGUCGUGCACAUCAGAACUGCCAGGUCCCCAGUGGUUCUGAAGCAGUAAGCUUUGGGUGGGCUCUGGCAUCAGCACUUUCACUAAGCUUCACAGAUAAUUCUGAUGCAUACUCCAGGCCUGAACCACUGAUCAAUUUGAAACAUGCAUAACAAAGCAAAAAAAGUUUUGUUUCACCUUUUGAAAUACAGUUAACUCUUUUACCAUGCCAGAGAUCAUUCAGAGAGACAGGUCGUUGCUCCGGAGUGAUACAGAUCUGGCAGUACCCAGCCCUUGUGUGUGUGCGUUAGCUCAGCACCUGCCCACACUGCGAGCCCCCGUAGGAUGUGCCUUGUCCUUCCCUGUUUCAGCACUUAACACACUACCUGGUACAGAGUAUGUAGUGGGCAUCUGUUGAAUGAAUGCUUUUCCCAGUAGCAGUGUAUUCAUACAAUAUUAAUAUAAUUGUCCCCUGGCUUACAGAUAAAAAUGAAAGCAUCAAGUGCCCAGUGAGUGAGACCCAGGUGUUCUUCCUCCACCCCUAGUGGUCCCCUGGGCAGGUCUUUUUUUUUUUGUAACACUCACCAGUCUGUUCUGUAGUCAAUCAUUGAUUGACUUGUCUGUGAACUUGGAGGAACUGUUUCAUAGUUUCAUUAGCACAGAGUAAACAUGUUUGCCAUGCAAGGUUAUUUUGCAUCUGCAUUUAAGUGAUAAUGUUGAAUCAAUGAAAAGUGUUGAUUAAGCAGUAGUUGUAGAUAUGCUAAGUUUUUCAAAUUACUAAUAUCAAGUGGAGAUUGUUUUUACUUUUAAGGGUAUUGCUUUUGUGAUAGCAUAAAUAAUGGUUUUCCUUUUUUGUAAUGUAAAUUAAUUGCUGGCAACUUUUGUAUUCCCAUAGACUGGGGAAGCUUAAUUGCCU
rnacentral:lncRNA from 1 species